UGGCUCAGAACGAACGCUGGCCGCAGGCCUAACACAUGCAAGUCGAACGCUCGUAGCAAUACGAGAGUGGCAGACGGGUGAGUAACACGUGGGAACCUUCCCUAUGGUUCGGAAUAGCCCAGGGAAACUUGGGGUAAUACCGGAUAAGCCCUUACGGGGAAAGAUUUAUCGCCAUUGGAUGGGCCCGCGUCGGAUUAGCUAGUUGGUGGGGUAACGGCCUACCAAGGCGACGAUCCGUAGCUGGUCUGAGAGGAUGAUCAGCCACACUGGGACUGAGACACGGUCCAGACUCCUACGGGAGGCAGCAGUGGG
rnacentral:rRNA from 2 species